GAGCCCGCGUUUCAUUAGCUAGUUGGUAGGGUAAUGGCCUACCAAGGCAACGAUGAGUAGCUGGUCUGAGAGGAUGAUCAGCCACACUGGAACUGAAACACGGUCCAGACUCCUACGGGAGGCAGCAGUGGGGAAUAUUGCGCAAUGGGCGAAAGCCUGACGCAGCAACGCCGUGUGAGGGAUGAAGGCUUUCGGGUCGUAAACCUCUGUCGGAAGGGAAGAACGGGCAUUGGUCUAAUAGGCCUUUGUUUUGACGGUACCUUUAGAGGAAGCACCGGCUAACUCCGUGCCAGCAGCCGCGGUAAUACGGAGGGUGCAAGCGUUAUUCGGAAUUACUGGGCGUAAAGCGCACGUAGGCCGCUUUGUAAGUCAGGGGUGAAAUCCCACGGCUCAACCGUGGAACUGCCUUUGAAACUGCAGAGCUUGAAUCCUGGAGAGGGUGGCGGAAUUCCUGGUGUAGGAGUGAAAUCCGUAGAUAUCAGGAGGAACACCGGUGGCGAAGGCGGCCACCUGGACAGGUAUUGACGCUGAGGUGCGAAAGUGUGGGGAGCAAACAGGAUUAGAUACCCUGGUAGUCCACACCGUAAACGAUGGACGCUAGAUGCCGGAG
rnacentral:rRNA from 1 species